UACGUAGGGUCCGAGCAUUGUCCGGAAUUACUGGGCGUAAAGAGCUCGUAGGUGGUUUGUCGCGUUGUUCGUGAAAACUCACAGCUCAACUGUGGGCGUGCGGGCGAUACGGGCAGACUAGAGUACUGCAGGGGAGACUGGAAUUCCUGGUGUAGCGGUGGAAUGCGCAGAUAUCAGGAGGAACACCGGUGGCGAAGGCGGGUCUCUGGGCCGAUACUGACGCUGGAGGAGCGAAAGCGUGGGGAGCGAACAGG
rnacentral:rRNA from 1 species